UAUGGCUCGUCUGCCUCUCUUUACUUAGUUCCACCUGAAAAACACCAUGAACUCAAUUUCUAUUGCCACCCAUCAUUUGAAUCCCAAAAAGCAUUUCCACUUCCUUGAUGAGGUAAAAAAAUGAAAUUCUCUAGAGAAAUACUUGUGCAGAAAUCAG